rnacentral:lncRNA from 1 species
GUUCCAGGAACUUCUUGGGGACUCUAUUUUAAGAAAAUUACUAUUCAUAAUGAUUUGGCAAACUUCUUGCUAAAGGCUCAAAACACCUGUAAAAACGCAUUUCCUACAAGGUUGCUACUUACCUUAACUGACGAACUUCUCCCUUGGAGCUAAGGUUUUCUCAUCUCUGUGUAUUUUAUAAGAAAGGGGGAUAUAAAAUCAGAAUAAAGUGUUAUCUGGAUGAAAUGGAAAUAAUGUGGAGACUUCUUUAGCCAUGUGGAAUGGAAAUACACUUUGUUUUAAAAUGUGGGAAGCAGUGCUUGCUGAUGCAAUUACUUGGGCAUUAUAUGAAAAGAUAAACCUAGUGGAGAGCUCAUCUGAGUAGAUGCUAAUGAACAUCCAUCACUAAAGUACUUAGAGCUGUGACAGGAAAUAAAAUUUCACAAGAAAAGAAUGCACGCAUUCAAAAAUAUGUUUAAGGGAAAACUUUCAGGAGCACUCCAUGAACAAUUAUAAGGAUGGAAGUGAAUAAGGAAAGAGAGAAAGAACAAAAUGAGAGAAAAAAAUGAGAACAGAGUGAUAUUUUAUACCUCAAAAGUAAAAUAUGAAUAAAAAAGCAAAAAGAGCAAAUAGUGUAAUUUGUCAUGCAAAGACAAAAUGGCAGAGAGAAUGUGAAGAGGCUACUGGAUUUGGAGAUUAUCUAAUUGCAAAUUUAAAAAAAUUUAGUAUAUUUCAGCAGAAUAAGGAGACAAGAGAGAAGUUUAGUAGGUCAAAGAGUGAAUAAGGUGAAGAGCCAGAAGGAAGCAUAUAUAUUUUACCAUUAAAAGAAGAAGAUAAUAAGGAGAGAUUAGUGAUGCCUCUAGAAGGGAGAAACGUAAGGAAGAAUUGAG